rnacentral:rRNA from 1 species
AGCAGCCGCGGUAAUUCCAGCUCCAAUAGCGUAUAUUAAAGUUGUUGCAGUUAAAAAGCUCGUAGUUGAAUUUCGGGGUUAGUAGGUUGGUCAUGCCUCUGGUAUGUACUGGUCUCACUGAUUCCUCCUUCCUGAUGAGCCGUAAUGCCAUUAAUUUGGUGUUGCGGGGAAUUUGGACUGUUACUUUGAAAAAAUUAGAGUGUUUAAAGCAAGCUAACGCUUGAAUACAUUAGCAUGGAAUAAUGAAAUAGGACGUUCGAUCCUAUUUUGUUGGUUUCUAGGAUUGACGUAAUGAUUAAUAGGGAUAGUUGGGGGCAUUAGUAUUCAAUUGUCAGAGGUGAAAUUCUUGGAUUUAUUGAAGACUAACUACUGCGAAAGCAUUUGCCAGGGAUGUUUUCAUUAAUCAAGAACGAAAGUUAGGGGAUCGAAGACGAUCAGAUACCGUCGUAG